AACAUCGCGCACCUGCGGGAACCUGCGGAGGGAUCAUUACCGAGUUCUUCAACUCCCAAACCCCUGUGAACGCACCCCAGACGUUGCUUCGGCGGACCGCCCCGGCGCCCUCCCUCCCUCCCCGGGGGGGGGGCGGGCCCGGAGCCAGGCGCCCGCCGGGGGACCCAAACUCUUGUCUUUCGCCCGCCGCGGCGUCUUUCUUCUGAGUGAGAGCAAAAAACGAAUCAAAACUUUUAACAA
rnacentral:misc_RNA from 1 species